GACGAACGCUGGCGGCGUGCCUAAUACAUGCAAGUAGGCCGCAGUUGCGAACGGGUGAGUAACGCGUAGGUAACUACCUAUUAGAGGGGGAUAACUAUUGGAAACGAUAGCUAAUACCGCAUACUAGUAGAUGGACCUGCGUUGUAUUAGCUAGUAGGUAGGGUAAUGGCCUACCUAGGCAACGAUACAUAGCCGACCUGAGAGGGGGAGCGGCCAAACUGGGACUGAGACACGGGCCAGACUCCUACGGGAGGCAGCAGUAGGGAAUCUUCGGGAAUGGGGGGAACCCUGACCGAGCAACGCCGCGUGAGUGAAGAAGGUUUUCGGAUCGUAAAGCUCUGUUGUUAGAGAAGCGGUAACUAACCAGAAAGGGACGGCUAACUACGUGCCAGCAGCCGCGGUAAUAC
rnacentral:rRNA from 1 species